rnacentral:tRNA from 1 species
CCAAAGCAAGACACUGAAAAUGCCUAGACGGGCUCACAGACCCCAUAAACA